AUGGUCGUCUCCCCCUCGACAGCACGCUCUUCCACUGUGUUGCUGCUGAUGGUGCUAGCGCGGCUUGGAUGGUGGAGGACCCCAGGCGAGCAGAGGCUCUGGCCCUGCCCAGGUUGCAGGCUGCUCCUCAUCUCCGGCGACGCCUCCUCCGAGCUACGGUGUUGUUUCCGUCCGAUUUCUGUGGUCAAGGUGGUCUUCUCUAGCGGGUGGUUGAGGCCUCGUGGUGGACACUUUGUCGGCUCCGCUCCGGUCCUGGCGGUCAUGUACAUGCGUUCUCCAGCGUCCUCUGCGGGCGUGGUUCCGUCCCCGGCGGUCCAGUUGUUGCGUCUCUCCGGCCUUUGGCUUGGCGACAUCCCGACGGCUCCGUCCCUAGCAGCUUGGAUAUGUGUUCCUUUUCGGUUCCUAGCUUGUUGGUGGCAUCGGUCGCCAUCCCAUCCUCCGCGUAGGCUCUCUCUGCCUUGCCGCAUUCCGACCCCGUACACCGCCACGGCGUGCCAAUCCCAAAGCUCACGUCUUUCGGCGUUGCCGGGUGCCACCCGCCGGCGGCGCGCGCAACCCAUGAAGGAAAUAUGCCCUAGAGGCAAUAAUAAAGGUGUUAUUUUAUAUUUAUUUAUUCAUGAUAAAGGUUUAUUAUUCAUGCUAGAAUUGUAUUGA
rnacentral:rRNA from 1 species